GCAUUGAUAGUUCAGUGGUAGAAUUCUCACCUUCCAUGAGGAAGACUCGGGCUCAAUUCCCAGCCAAUGCC
rnacentral:tRNA from 1 species